GAUGAACGCUGGCGGCGUGCCUAAUACAUGCCAGUCGAGCGAACAGACGAGGAGCUUGCUCCUCUGACGUUAGCGGCGGACGGGUGAGUAACACGUGGAUAACCUACCUAUAAGACUGGGAUAACUUCGGGAAACCGGAGCUAAUACCGGAUAAUAUAUUGAUCCGCAUGGUUCAAUAGUGAAAGACGGUUUUGCUGUCACUUAUAGAUGGAUCCGCGCCGCAUUAGCUAGUUGGUAAGGUAAGGGCUUACCAAGGCAACGAUGCGUAGCCGACCUGAGCGGGUGGUAGGCAACACUGGAACUGAGACAUGGUCCAGACUCCUACGGGAGGCAGCAGUCGGGAAUCUUACGCAAUGGGCGAAAGCCUGACGGAGCACCGCCGCGUGAGUGAUGAAGGUCUUCGGAUCGUAAAACUCUGUUAUUAGGGAAGAACAAAUGUGUAAGUAACUAUGCACGUCUUGACGGUACCUAAUCAGAAAGCCACGGCUAACUACGUG
rnacentral:rRNA from 1 species